rnacentral:lncRNA from 1 species
AUUCCAUUCUGUUUUUGGUCCGAUGCAUGUCUUAAGCCUUUUGUCAGAUUGAUUUCUUUUACAAAGGAGCUACCUGUGCUCUUCCUGUUCGCACUCAGCACUAAGAAACUCUCAGAACCACACUGAAUCUGUACUUGUGAUGAGCUUCAGAGAUCCUAGAAUCCAAGCCGUCUGGGGAUAGUGUUGAUGGACAGGCCUGGGGCUGAGACUGAGGUUCUAUGUCCAGAGAAGAAACUCGGAUGUUCUUGGAGACAUGGCUGCCCUGGAAUUUGG